GGGGGUGACGAUAUUCCCAAAGCCGGGAUCUCAGAGCAGCAGUGGGGAGGCAACACGUGGCACAAGCCCGGAGCCGGGAGCUGUUCCCACUGCUGGAACACCGGGAUAUUUCCUGCCUGGGCCGGGUUUCCAGGAGGGCACGGAGACCGGCUCAAGGAUUUACACUGGAAAAACCGCCCUGGCUGGAUUCCUGCUGCUCCCGUCUGACCCCAAAGCUCCUCUGCAGGGAAUGAAAGCCGUUCCUUAAAAACAUUCCCUGUUUUUGGUGAUGCCGGUGGUGCGGGAUCCGUCCCUCCAUGGGAUAAAUUUGGAGGGGAGGAAUUGAGGGAUGGACGGUUCAGUGGAACUAAAGCUGUGCCAGGAGCCCAGAAAAGGCAGGGAGGGGUCAGCUGUGCCCGGUGCCAGCCGCAGAUCCUGCAAAAAGCAGGAAUUCCAGGGGCAGGGACACCGGGAGUGCUGCCCUUCCCGAGGGCAGGAGGGGUGGGGGGAUGUCUGGCACAAGGGCUUUUCCCGGGAUCUGCAGGAGGAGGGAAAAGCACCCAAAGAAGCUGAGAACAGCCCAGAUCCCUCCCCGGAGAUCUCCGGGCAUUGGGAAGCCCGGCCCGCCCCUCUCCUGAGCGGAACCAUCCCGGCUUUUCUUCAUCCUAAAGAAACAAAUCCUUGGGAGGAACCGAGUGGCUCCGCACAGCCCCGUCCCGGGAUCCCAGCCCCGUCCCGGGGAUCCCAGCCCCGUCCCGGGAUCCCAGCCCCGUCCCGGGAUCCCAGCUCAGCUCCCGGGGAUCCCAGCUCAGCUCCGGGGGAUCCCAGCUCCGUUCCCGGGGAUCCCAGCCCCGUCCCGGGAUCUCAGCCCCAUCCCGGGGAUCCCAGCUCAGCUCCGGGGGAUCCCAGCUCAGCUCCCGGGGGAUCCCAGCCCCGUCCCGGGGAUCCCAGCUCAGCUCCCGGGGGAUCCCAGCUCCGUUCCCGGGGGGAUCCCAGCUCCCCUCCCUCUCCCAUCCAGGCUGUUCCCAAAGCUCGGCAGGGAUGA
rnacentral:lncRNA from 1 species